GAGUUUGAUCGUGGCUCAGAUUGAACGCUGGCGGCAUGCCUUACACAUGCAAGUCGAACGGCAGCAUGAUCUAGCUUGCUAGAUUGAUGGCGAGUGGCGAACGGGUGAGUAAUACAUCGGAACGUGCCCUGUAGUGGGGGAUAACUAGUCGAAAGAUUAGCUAAUACCGCAUACGACCUGAGGGUGAAAGUGGGGGACCGCAAGGCCUCAUGCUAUAGGAGCGGCCGAUGUCUGAUUAGCUAGUUGGUGGGUAAAGGCCGACCAAGGCGACGAUCAGUAGCUGGUCUGAGAGGACGAUCAGCCACACUGGGACUGAGACACGGCCCAGGACUCCUACGGGAGGCGAGCAGUGGGGAAUUUUGGACAAUGGGGGCAACCCUGAUCCAGCAAUGCCGCGUGUGUGAG
rnacentral:rRNA from 1 species